UGCGCAGGCGGUUCGGAAAGAAAGAUGUGAAAUCCCCGGGCUCAACCUGGGAACUGCAUUUGAAACUGGCAAGCUAGAGUCUCGUAGAGGGGGGUAGAAUUCCAGGUGUAGCGGUGAAAUGCGUAGAGAUCUGGAGGAAUACCGAUGGCGAAGGCGGCCCCCUGGACGAAGACUGACGCUCAGGUGCGAAAGCGUGGGGAGCAAACA
rnacentral:rRNA from 1 species